CGCACAUUGCACUUGGAUCACCGUCCAAGUAUGCCUGUCUGAGCGUCAUUUCAAUCUCUCAGACAUAGUCUGGUAGUGAGGGAGGUCUCCACUUAACUGUGGGGAUCCCCUUAUAAAAGUACAAGCCGUGGUUCAACCAGGACAUGCAAACGCAUCGGAAAAACAUUGCCUUGCUAGACUGAUAUAACCCUGUGCUUCCAACAAAUUCACUUUGUAGAUUGACCUCAGAUCAGGUAGGGAUACCCGCUGAACUUAA
rnacentral:misc_RNA from 1 species